UACAGAGGUCUCAAGCGUUGUUCGGAUUCAUUGGGCGUAAAGGGCUCGUAGGCGGUUUGUUGCGUCGGAAGUGAAAACUCAGGGCUUAAACCCUGAGCCUGCUUCCGAUACGGGCAGACUAGAGGUAUGCAGGGGAGAACGGAAUUCCUGGUGUAGCGGUGAAAAUGCGCAGAUAUCAGGAGGAACACCGGUGGCGAAGGCGGCAUCCUGGACCGGUAUUGACACUGAGGCGCGAAAGCCAGGGGAGCAAAACGGGA
rnacentral:rRNA from 1 species